AAUAUUGGACAAUGGGGGGAACCCUGAUCCAGCCAUCCCGCGUGUGUGAAGAAGGUCUCCGGAUUGUAAAGCACUUUCAGUUGGGAGGACGAGUUGUAGGCUAAUACCUUGCAAUUUUGCCGUUCCCAACAGAAUAAGCCCCGCCUACCUUCGUCCCACCGCCCGCGGUAAUACGAAGGGUGCAAGCGUUAAUCGGAAUUACUGGGCGUAAAGCGCGCGUAGGUGGUUCGUUAAGUUGGAAGUGAAAGCCCCGGGCUUAACCUGGGAAUUGCUUUCAAAACUGACGAGCUAGAGUACGGUAGAGGGUAGUGGAAUUUCCUGUGUAGCGGUGAAAUGCGUAGAUAUAGGAAGGAACAUCAGUGGCGAAGGCGACUACCUGGACUGAUACUGACACUGAGGUGCGAAAGCGUGGGGAGCAAACAGG
rnacentral:rRNA from 1 species